rnacentral:rRNA from 1 species
GUGGGGAAUAUUGGACAAUGGGCGAAAGCCUGAUCCAGCCAUGCCGCGUGAGUGAUGAAGGCCUUAGGGUUGUAAAGCUCUUUCAGUAGGGAAGAUAAUGACGGUACCUACAGAAGAAGCCCCGGCUAACUUCGUGCCAGCAGCCGCGGUAAUACGAAGGGGGCUAGCGUUGUUCGGAUUUACUGGGCGUAAAGCGCACGUAGGCGGAUUGGUCAGUUAGAGGUGAAAUCCUGGAGCUCAACUCCAGAACUGCCUUUAAUACUGUCAGUCUAGAGUCCAGAAGAGGUGAGUGGAACUCCUAGUGUAGAGGUGGAAUUCGUAGAUAUUAGGAAGAACACCAGUGGCGAAGGCGGCUCACUGGUCUGGUACUGACGCUGAGGUGCGAAAGCGUGGGGAGCAAACAGGAUUAGAUACCCCUGUAGUCC